GACGAACGCUGGCGGCGUGCUUAACACAUGCAAGUCGAACGGAAAGGCCCUGCUUUUGUGGGGUGCUCGAGUGGCGAACGGGUGAGUAACACGUGAGUAACCUGCCCUUGACUUUGGGAUAACUUCAGGAAACUGGGGCUAAUACCGGAUAGGAGCUCCUGCUGCAUGGUGGGGGUUGGAAAGUUUCGGCGGUUGGGGAUGGACUCGCGGCUUAUCAGCUUGUUGGUGGGGUAGUGGCUUACCAAGGGUUUGACGGGUAGCCGGCCUGAGAGGGGGAACGGCCACAUUGGGACUGAGAUACGGACCAGACUCCUACGGGAGGCAGCAGUGGGGAAUAUUGCACAAUGGGCGGAAGCCUGAGGCAGCAACGCCGCGUGCGGGAUGACGGCCUUCGGGUUGUAAACCGCUUUCGCCUGUGACGAAGCGUGAGUGACGGUAAUGGGUAAAGAAGCACCGGCUAACUACGUG
rnacentral:rRNA from 1 species